GACAGAGGAUGCAAGCGUUAUCCGGAAUGAUUGGGCGUAAAGCGUCUGUAGGUGGCUUUAAGUCGCCGUCAAUCCAGGCUCAACCUGGACAGGCGGUGGAACUACCAAGCUGGAGUACGGUAGGGCAGAGGAAUUUCCGGUGGAGCGGUGAAAUGCGUAGAGAUCGGAAAGAACACCAACGGCGAAAGCACUCUGCUGGCCGAACACUGACACUGAGAGACGAAAGCUAGGGGAGCGAAUGGG
rnacentral:rRNA from 1 species